rnacentral:misc_RNA from 1 species
GGAAGUAAAGUCGUAACAAGGUUUCCGUGGGUGAACCUGCGGAAGGAUCAUUACCAAAACAAUAGCCGAAAGGCCUUGCCCUAGGGGGGGAGACCCCCCGACGGUAAACCCUUUGUGAAAACCCUCUUGUUUGCCUCGGCGGCACCCUUUAAUUAGGGGUCAGCCCGCCGACGGCACCAAACAAAAACUCUUUUGAAUUGAGGAAUCAGUCUGAAUCAAUGGUCGAAUGACUAUAAAACUUUCAACAACGGAUCUCUUGGUUCCC